UGACCCCUCACGCAUUGCUUGGUGUUGGGCAGGAUCCCCAGUGGACCCGCCCCUAACCCGUAGGCGGCAGCCGUCCGCUCCCUCAGCGUAGCAGGCUUUUAUGCAAUCGCUCGGGGACGAUGUUGUGGCUAUGCCAUUCAACCAUACCCUUCCAAG
rnacentral:misc_RNA from 1 species